rnacentral:lncRNA from 13 species
UGGCAAAUGUUGCUUUACUACUACCCCAGCUGCUUGGCCACAGGUAGGCGUGGGUAGAUAUCUGAUCCAAAAUAGACCAGUGAACUUCUCUUGUAGGAAUUUGGAACUGAGGUCCUGAGGGUCCACCUGGCUUCCAUGUGCAACUGGGACAAAGGCUGGCCUUCUCCUCCUCUCCUGUCUCCACUGCAGGCAGGACCUGACCACCAACACCACUCCUGAGAUUCA